rnacentral:rRNA from 1 species
GACGAACGCUGGCGGCGUGCCUAAUACAUGCCAGUAGAACGCUGAAGGAGGAGCUUGCUUCUCUGGAUGAGUUGCGAACGGGUGAGUAACGCGUAGGUAACCUGCCUGGUAGCGGGGGAUAACUAUUGGAAACGAUAGCUAAUACCGCAUAAUAGUAGAUGUUGCAUGACAUUUACUUAAAAGGUGCAAUUGCAUCACUACCAGAUGGACCUGCGUUGUAUUAGCUAGUUGGUGGGGUAACGGCUCACCAAGGCGACGAUACAUAGCCGACCUGAGAGGGUGAUCGGCCACACUGGGACUGAGACACGGCCCAGACUCCUACGGGAGGCAGCAGUAGGGAAUCUUCGGCAAUGGACGAAAGUCUGACCGAGCAACGCCGCGUGAGUGAAGAAGGUUUUCGGAUCGUAAAGCUCUGUUGUAAGAGAAGAACGAGUGUGAGAGUGGAAAGUUCACACUGUGACGGUAUCUUACCAGAAAGGGACGGCUAACUACGUG